CAAAUGAUAUGAUCAGUAGGCUUUUGAACCAGAAUCCAUGAGUGAAUUAAGUGAGGGUCAAAAUUAAGAAUCUCUUUCUUUCCUCAUUGUCUGUGGGAAAUCUUCAUGGUGUACCAUCCUUACUCAUUUCCAGGAUCCUGAAAUUGAACUCUCCAUAUGGUUUUCUGUUCAGACCUUCAAGCUCUCUAUAAUGCACAGACUGCAUUACGAGUGUCUGAGAGUUGAAGUUUCAGUGAAACAGGCUCUUUCUAAUAAAUGAUAAAGCCCACAGUAGGUCAGGUAGGAGCAGAGUGGAGGAGGGUAGUGGAGGAGGCUCUCAUGCUGUCAGCAGGGUGUGCUGAGGACAUCACUGGUACCCUAGCAUUUGUGACCAGGGAGGCCAUCUAUAGCCGUGGAAGACCAUUACAAGAGACUGGUCAUGGGGAGCAAGCUACUUCCGGAGAGCUUCCUUUUUGCGUUGAAUAAAUAAGACUUGCCUUUUCACAAUAAAACGCUAUUGUUUCUUUCAUUUACAUGUUCCAUGGAAAUGACCUCAGAAGAUUUUGUGACAUCAGGAUAUUCAUGGGCAGGGGAGGAAGAGCACAGCUACAUCUUUCAGUAAGAAGAAGAACAACAACCAUCUGGAGUGAGCAAUUUCACAUCCAGGUCAAUACCCUGAGGAAACUCCUACUUGUGUUGCAGAAGAAAACUGAGAAUUCUGGAACAAAGCACAGGAAAUAGCUCCCAUGUUCAUCAAAUGAAGAGUUGAUAAGUUAGGGUAUAUAGGUACAGGGGGUUACUGCACCAUAUGGGCAGCUAUGCACAUUGGCAGGGAUGAAUGGCACUGUGGAAUAAAA